GGUAAACGGUUACAGCGUCUUCGCCAAAAACAACAGACCGUUUUCAGCCCCAAAAAUUGAAGGAGCUCUAUUCAGUUUGGCGCAUCUCUACUCUGUCAUUUUUACGGGUAUAUUGCUUCAAUAAUGGAGACGAUAUCAGGAAGGAGAACAAGGUAACUCAGAUACGCCAUUGAUGCAAAGAGGAGAAAGGAAAAAGUUAAAGGCGUCUGAUCACUGAUGAUCGAGAAGGGGAUGUCGACUCCUCAUUAUGAUGAAGGGUGGGUCUAAAGAAAACUGCACCAACCAAAGCUUUUGACGAUUUUUGUUUUCCACCAGACUACAGUCUUGACCUUCGAUUGGUCUACGAGCACGGGCAGAUAGGUCCACAGGAGGGCCUGCCUUUCCAAUCAAUCUCCGGCUGCUCAAUGUCGCUAUUGGUGCGUGCAUUUAUUUUAAAAAUCUCUGAAGUUCGAUUCAAAGUGUGUGAAAACGAGGUAGCGUUUCAAUCCUUCUUCCAGAAUUUUCUCUGAGAUUAGGUAUGAUCCACACUAGCUUCAAAACAAAAAACAUUAACAUUUUCACAAGAAACCAAAUACUCAUUUUCAAGUCUCAUUAUAGAAAUUUUCCAUA